rnacentral:rRNA from 1 species
CCGGAUUUAUUGGGUUUAAAGGGUGCGUAGGCGGAUUAAUAAGUCAGCGGUGAAACUCACAGGCUCAACCUGUGCCGUGCCGUUGAAACUGUUUAUCUCGAAUGCGGAUGCUGUGGGAGGAAUGUGUAGUGUAGCGGUGAAAUGCAUAGAUAUUACACAGAACACCGAUUGCGAAGGCAUCUCACAAAGCCGUGAUUGACGCUGAGGCACGAAAGUGUGGGGAUCAAACAGGAUUAGAUACCCUGGUAGUCCACUACUGUAAACGAUGAUAACUCGCUGCCGGCGAUAUAUAGUCGGUGGCCCAGCGAAAGCGAUAAGUUAUCCACCUGGGGGGUACGACCGCAAGGUUGAAACUCAAAGGAAUUGACGGGGGCCCGCACAAGCGGAGGAACAUGUGGUUUAAUUCGAUGAUACGCGAGGAACCUUACC